ACCUUUUUUCAGUUUUAAGCAUGACGACUGGGUGUUCACACUGUUGUGUAGGAUGUGCCUCCCUGCUAAACCUCAUUCCAAGACUGGCACAUUACCCAUCUGAUG